ACCGUAGGAGGCAAGCGUUAUCCGGAGUUACUGGGCGUAAAGAGUGCGUAGGCGGACCUGUAAGUGGGUGGUGAAAGCGCCCGGCUAAACCGGGCGAGGUUCAUUCAGACUGCAGGUCUAGAGGCGGAUAGAGGGGUGCGGAAUUCCGGGUGUAGCGGUGAAAUGUGUAGAGAUCCGGAGGAACACCAGUGGUGCAAACGGCGCCCUGGGUCCGAACUGACGCUGAAGCACGAAAGCGUGGGGAGCGAACGGG
rnacentral:rRNA from 1 species